AUAAUAUAUUAUCAGUAGACCACUUGUAAUGGGCAUAGUUUUUUCAAAAUCCUCCACCAAACACGCUCAAUCUCGCCCGACUCCCACCCCCUCGGCGUUAUGUGGCGUUUUUUAUCAAAAAAAAUUGAGCAGCAUGGUUUAAAACACGCCAAUUUUAUGCAUUGGGUUGAGAGUUUACAAUUACAAACGGCGGUUGGGUUUCAGGCACAAUCUCCACAUCGUCUUCGGGUUCGGAUUGGGUCGAGAUCGGUUGAGGUUGAACGGGGGGUGUGGGGAUCGGUUGACGUUGAACGGGGGGUGUGGGGAUCGGUUGAGGUUGAACGGGUGGGAAGUUCCAAGCACCCCGCAUCAUCAUUUGUUGAAGAGCUUGAUUUUGGGAGAUUUGAGUGAAUUGGUUUGGCGAUUGUUGGAAUGAAGCAAACGCGUUCGAUGAAUAUUGGGAGAAUUGGUUCGGUUCUAGCGUUGGAUAAUAUCCCGGAACCGAAAAAACAUUUGGUUGGGUCGGAUUGUUGGGAGUAUUCGGGUUGUUCGAAGUGUUCGGGUUCUCCGGGUUGUUGAACGGAUCCAUGAAAAUUAUGUGGAAGAAGGUUGAGAGAAUAGUGGAAGGAGUGUAAAAAUUAUAUGAGAAAGAGGUGAAUUGUUGAGGUUAAUUUGGUGUUUGAUAGUGAAAAUGGAAGUAAUAUUUAUAUAUUUUAUUAAUAUAGCCGUUUGUAAUUAUUCAAAUUUUGGAAA